rnacentral:rRNA from 1 species
UAUCUCUGUAGAGUCUGCAUAUCAAUAAGCGGAGGAAAAGAAACUAACAAGGAUUCCCUUAGUAACGGCGAGUGAAGCGGGAAGAGCUCAAAUUUGAAAUCUUCAAGGUUCUACCUUGACGAAUUGUAGUUUAAAGAAGUGUUUUCUGUUAGAUGAGUAGCAAAAGUUCCUUGGAAUGGGACAUCAUAGAGGGUGAGAAUCCCGUAUUUGGUUAUUCAUUCUAGCUUUGUGAUACACUUUCAAAGAGUCGGAUUGUUUGGGAAUGCAGUCCAAAAUGGGUGGUAAAUUUCAUCUAAAGCUAAAUAUUGGCGAGAGACCGAUAGCGAACAAGUACCGUGAGGGAAAGAUGAAAAGAACUUUGAAAAGAGAGUUAAACAGUACGUGAAAUUGUCAAAAGGGAAGCGUUUGACACCAGUGUUGUUUUUCCGAAAAUCAAUUACGAAUGGCUUGAUUUUGUGUUGUAUUGACCUUAUCAGCUUUCUUCACUUUUUUCGAGUCUUUCUUAAUGCACUUUUCGGUUAACAAGUCAACAUCAAUUUCUUUUGUUGUAAAAGAGUAUUCGGAAGGUGGCUUUCUUUUCGGAGAAAGUGUUUAUAGCCCUAUACUUCUACAAUCGGAGAGAUUGAGGUCUGCAGCGUAGAUCCUUCGGGGUUAGAUACACUUGUGCUAAGUUGUAGCUUUUCAUAGACAACUUGUUGACUAUGUUUAGUCAUGCGGCUUACUCGCUUGUGCUAUUUUACCUACGCUUAGGAUGUUGAACUACUGAGACAUAG